UCCUACGGGAGGCAGCAGUCGGGAAUAUUGCGCAAUGGAGGAAACUCUGACGCAGUGACGCCGCGUAUAGGAAGAAGGUUUUCGGAUUGUAAACUAUUGUCGUGAGGGAAGAAAUUGACAGUACCUCAGGAGGAAGCUCCGGCUAACUAUGUGCCAGCAGCCGCGGUAAUACAUAGGGAGCAAGCGUUAUCCGGAUUUAUUGGGUGUAAAGGGUGCGUAGACGGGAAAUUAAGAUAGUUGUGAAAUCCCUCGGCUUAACUGAGGAACAGAAACUAAAACUGAUU
rnacentral:rRNA from 1 species